GGAUGAACGCUGACAGAAUGCUUAACACAUGCAAGUCUACUUGAGGUAACUUCGGUUACCGAGGGUGGCGGACGGGUGAGUAACGCGUAAAGAACUUGCCCCUUAGUCUGGGACAACUGUUGGAAACGACAGCUAAUACCGGAUAUUAUGAGACCUUGGCAUCAAGGACUUAUGAAAGCUAUAUGCGCUAAGGGAGAGCUUUGCGUCCUAUUACCUAGUUGGUGAGGUAAUGGCUCACCAAGGCGACGAUAGGUAGCCGGCCUGAGAGGGUGAACGGCCACAAGGGGACUGAGACACGGCCCUUACUCCUACGGGAGGCAGCAGUGGGGAAUAUUGGACAAUGGACCAAAAGUCUGAUCCAGCAAUUCUGUGUGCUUGAUGAAGGCCUUCGGGUUGUAAAGAGCUUUAAGUGGGGAAGAAGAAAGUGACGGUACCCACAGAAUAAGCGACGGCUAAAUACGUGCCAGCAGCCGCGGUAAUACCUAUGUCGCAAGCGUUAUCCGGAAUUAUUGGGCA
rnacentral:rRNA from 1 species